UCCCCGGCGGCGGCCACAAUUUGUAGAGGGCAGGCACGCAUCAAGAUGGAGCAAAAGGGGCCCGUCGCCAUCCACCUGCACGCAGCCCUUGCGAUCCGCCGAUCCCCCUCCCCUGCACCCGGCCCUCGCGAUCCACUCGGCCUCGCCAUUGCCUCCAUCGACCCGCCAUCCUCCUCUCUAUUCGCGUGGAUCGACCAACCCUCUGUAGCGUGAUCCUGGCGGCGGCGCGGCGUCAUGGUGGAUCUGCGGCGCCUCGGCGGCUACCUCCCACUCUCCUCGCGACAACGGUCGCCAUGGAACGCAGCAAGAGCUUUCCAGCCGGUGCGCGAUGCAACUCAAUCGUGAGGAUUUGAGGUCGGCGUUUGCGGCCGUGCACCUGUGUAAACGCCGGCAUCCUCACCAUGGCUGCAGAUCGUCCAGAUACGUUAAGCUGCUAGCUGUGCUCUCGUUGCUCAUCUAUCGCUGGCUUGUAAUCUCAUAUCAUGAAUCCUGCAAGUUGUGUAUGUAACUUUUUUUGUUGUUUGCAGAUUGACGAAGGGGGUGAUGCAAGUGCACUCUCUGUGUUUGGGUAAAUGCCCCAGCGAAGUUGAAGUCCCGCACAGGCCAAGCAUCGCUAUUUGUUUCUCUGUAGUCUUUGCAGGUUAGCUGACAAAGCAAGAAAAGAGUUCAAUUGGAACUAGAGAUGCGAAGAGAUGCUGCAUUAUGCAGGUUCUUGAUCCUGCACUGCCUCUACGAUUUAUGAUCUAAGGGCACCAUGUAAAAGAGCCUUGUUUGAUUCGAAUUGACCUAGGUUUAGGAUUUUGCGGGUUGUUUCCUAUCAAACUUCCAGCUUGAUUUAUUUCAUAGCUUCAGCUUUGCAAGUGAAUUAUUAUUUAAAGCCAUCUCCCGUUGUGUUCAGAUAGAGAGAAGGUGAGAGAGAGCAAAGACGAAGCAGCCAACAACCAAAGGUGACCGAGGGAGACAAAGCUCUUAAUAGAAUUGAGAGGUAUAGAGCGAGGAGGAGGAUGGAACAGGAGGAGGUGUGCUCGUAUUUUAUUUUGAGAUUCUAAAUGGCUUCACUUUUGGAAUUUAUAGCAUAUUAUCAUGUAAAAGAGGAGAUGAUCACACUGAUAGACACUUGGCAAGAAGCUUUUGGUGGUGUGCGUGCAAGAUAUUCACAAUACUUUGCAGUUACAUGGAGCUCUUGUGGAAUUGCUGAAGGUGAUUCUACUCUUGGAGAAAUGUGAACCUUAUGAUUGAGGUAUGCAGUAUUUAUUGCUUC